CCCUUAGAUGUCCUGGGCCGCACGCGCGCUACACUGAGUGUCUGAGAUAUGAGGCAUGCCUGGUCCGGCAAGGUCUAGGUAAUCACGAAAAGGCACAUCAUGCUUGGGAUUGAUUAUUGCAAAUUUUAAUCAUGAACGAGGAAUUCCUAGUAAGUGCAAGUCAACAGCUUGCGUUGAUUACGUCCCUGCCCUUUGUACACACCGCCCGUCGCUACUACCGAUUGAAUGGUUUAGUGAGAUCUUCGGAUUGGCGCCACUGCAGCUCAGCAAUGGGCUUGGUGGAUGCCGAAAAGUUGAUCAAACUUGAUCAUUUAGAGGAAGUAAAAGUCGUAACA
rnacentral:rRNA from 1 species